rnacentral:lncRNA from 1 species
UCUCCCGACUUAUUUUGAACGAACCGAUCCCGACUCGAUUCAAGAUGCCGUAUGUGGAGCCCUAUGACGGUUCCACCGAUCCAAUCGAUCACUUCGAGAGCUGCUCUCAUGACAAUCCAGGGAGCAACUGACGUCCUCCUGUGCAUCGGCUUUCCGGCUACACUUCGAAAAGCUGCUUGGGCCUGAUACUCUGGAUUUCGGUCGAAAAAUAUCCACUCCUUUGAGCAGCUGGAACAUUCC